GGUGCUGCAUGGCUGUCGUCAGCUCGUGUCGUGAGAUGUUGGGUUAAGUCCCGCAACGAGCGCAACCCUUAUCUUUAGUUGCCAUCAGGUUGGGCUGGGCACUCUAGAGAGACUGCCGGUGACAAGCCGGAGGAAGGUGGGGAUGACGUCAAGUCCUCAUGGCCCUUAUGUCCUGGGCUACACACGUGCUACAAUGGCGGUGACAGUGGGAAGCUAGGUGGUGACACCAUGCUGAUCUCUAAAAGCCGUCUCAGUUCGGAUUGCACUCUGCAACUCGAGUGCAUGAAGGUGGAAUCGUUAGUAAUCGUGGAUCAGCACGCCACGGUGAAUACGUUCCCGGGUCUUGUACACAC
rnacentral:rRNA from 1 species